rnacentral:rRNA from 1 species
UACGAAGGGGGGCUAGCGUUGCUCGGAAUUACUGGGCGUAAAGCGCACGUAGGCGGCUUUCUAAGUCGGGGGUGAAAUCCUGGAGCUCAACUCCAGAACUGCCCUUCGAUACUGGAAAGCUCGAGUCCGGGAGAGGUGAGUGGAACUGCGAGUGUAGAGGUGAAAUUCGUAGAUAUUCGGAAGAACACCAGUGGCGAAGGCGACUCGCUGGACAAGUAUUGACGCUGAGGUGCGAAAGCCAGGGGAGCAAACGGG